UCCUGCGAACAGAAGACGCAACUAUUAUCGCAAUUGCUCGUCGCACCGCAUGUCGGAUAAGUCGAACAGUCCCGAGAAGUUGAAAAAUUUCGUGAAUAUUUUUUAUUUGAAAAUAUAUAUAUAUAUAUAUAUAUAUUUAUAUUUAUAUUGGGUGGCCUUAGGUAGAAAAAAAAUAAGUUUUUUUAGUUUCUUUCCAACGAGUUCUAAGAUGAAAGAUAAUAGCGGUGAACGAAAAUGGUAUGGAAUUUUCUGAGCAACGAUUAGAUUAUAUAAGACCGUGAACGAUUAAGUAGCAUUGAAUUGAUAGGAAGGAGAGAUCGUAAAAUUGUCGAGAUUGUUUCUUCUUUGUCUUUUCUCGAAUCGAAAAUGAAAAUUUAUUAUUUCUUUUUUUUUCGCGUAUAUUUAAUUAUAAGCCGCUUAAACAGUUUGAGAUAAGAUGUUGCAUUUUUUUUUUCUUUUUAAUUUUACGCAAAUUAUAAAUACGUGAAUAAAUAACGAACGAAGCAUAUGUUUUGUUUCAAGAUUGUGCGUUUCACGAUUACCAACGCAUCUUGUUGUUUUUAUUCAAUACGUACAUUAGACUCGCGCGUUUAAAGUACUCGUUUAUUUUCCUCGUGUUAUUAAUAUUACGUUUUUAUCUUUCGAAGAAACUUCGAAGCGAUAUUACGUUCGAGAUUUUCUAACCAGCCUCGAUCUCACGCGGUGAAAUCCGCUCAACAGUUGAACAAUUUAAUGGCGCCACGGAGGAACGAUAGUUAUCAUCGCAUUGGUGGAGUAAAAGGUUAUCGUGUUAAGGAUACGUGUUGACGUGGCUCGCUUUAAAAGCGACCAGGCCUUCGUUGAAAUCCUGGAAUGGGCGAGGCCGACCAGAUAUCCGGGCAGGAAGUUUGCGGAAAGUGCAGAGACAUUCCGCUGAUAAUAGCCUCACGAUCGCGAUGACGGAGGAAAACGUUAACGAUUAUUAUCAUAACGUGACAGAUUGUUGUUGAAAGAUUGUUUGAUCUUAUUAAGUAUUCCAAAUACUCGGUAUAUUUUACGAAAAAUAUUUAUUAUUUCAUUCUACACCGUAUUUUGUAUAUUUGUAUAUUUGUAUAAUUAUAUUAUGCAUAACACAAUUAUUGUACCGUUAUUCGAAUGGUACUCGAAUUUAACGUAAUCAUUAGUCUAUCUUGAAAUAUUUAUAUAUUUUAUUUUAUUUAUUUUACACUAAUUUAUUUGUUGACUCGAAAAAAUUUAAAUCAAAAUAAAACUCAUAAAAUGAGCUUGAAAUACGUGUACAAUGAAAGGAUUAAAAAUUAAAUAUUUAAAUAAAGAAAAUAAUUUUGUAAUCGAUUUUACGAAACACAAAACCGUGUUGCAAUAAAGUAAAAAAAAAAAAAAAGGAAAAAAAGAAAAAGGAAGAAGUUGGAUCAAAUUCCCUUUAUAAUUUAACUAAUUUCCGGUAAUCGAUUUUAACGCUUCGCUAAUUUAUGGCUUCCAAGUUUAAUCGUCUGACACAAUAAAUUCAUUCGGAAAUUAUUUGAAGAUUGUACUGUUAUCUGAUAAUGAUUUUAAUUAACUCCGCGUCAAGAGAUUGCAAACAAUUGAAAACGCGAAUUGCAAUUAAUUGCGGAUUUAUCUUUGGAAACGUGCUAAAA